GCAAGUCCACAAAUACAGUCUAAUGAACAGAGGAAUAGGCAAUGUCCAUAGGCACAGGAUCAGGCAAAGAGUGGCAUCAGACUGUGAGCAAGAAAGCAUUCUGAGCCCAGAGUCAGAAAUAACUAAACAAAGAGACUUGAAAAAAACAACUAGGCAGGAAGAUCUUCUUGGACUUCUAAGAUUAUUUCUAAUGUGAAAGGCCCCAUUAGCAAUGAUGAUUCCUUUCUUCAGCUGGUAUCACCAAAAGCCCAAAACCUGUUUUCAAGCCUCCAACCCAAGGUCCUUCAGGAGAGAUGUGCCAAGACUGUUGGGACCUUAGAAUCUUUACCCAGAUCCUGACUCUUAAACUCCCGUGUGACUCUCUGUCACAUGCUCCUAUCAAUCCGUUUGCAUUACAGUCUUUUGCAAAUGAGAUCUCUCCCUAUUACACUAUCCACUUUCUUGUUGUUCAGUCA
rnacentral:lncRNA from 1 species